ACAAGUUAUGCUGGCUUUAGUCUCUUAGUGUGCUGGAACUGGUUCAUAAGACCUAGUUGUUCCACUUUCUGGAGUUUUGAUAGCCAGUUGACAUCACUUUGAUAGCUUGAAAUCAGCUAUGAUGGGAGUACUAAUGCCGCGCAAAUCUGCAAAUACUAUAAGUCAGAGGCUUCCCUUUUGCCACAUAUUGGCAGUGUGGUAGGGGGUAACUUCCUUUCAUUUCUCUGACUCUUCUCAUUUGUAAGGAAAAUAGCAACACUAUUAGCCUGGCGUGGUGGCAGGCACCUUGUAAUCCCAGCUGCUCGGGAGGCUGAGGCAGGAGAAUUGCUUGAACCUGGGAGGCGGAGGUUGCAGUGAGCCGAGAUGUGCCAUUGCACUCCAGCCUGGGUGACAGAGUUAAGACUCCAAAAGAAAAGAAAAUAGCAAUACUAAUCCUGCAUGAUGUGAUGAUUAGAAAGCAUAUGGCACUUUAAGUGUUCAAAUUACUGCUUUCAUUGUUAUCUUUCCCAUAUUUUAAUGUUCCAUAAUAUUGAGUAUGAUUUUGUUUUCUAUAAAGCUUACCUACUGCAUUUGGAGGAUGAUUAUGUUUCUUGGCAGUUUUCUCCCUGAAACAACUGAUGAAUGUGAUAACCUGUUUUCCUUCUAGUGGUGGGGGAAAAGUAGCUCCAGCUCAACCAUCUGAGGAAGGACCAGCAAGGAAAGGUGAGCUCAUAGUAUGGGAAAUAGGUUUUUCACCUAGAAGCCUAAAUAAAAAGGCCUCCAAAAUUAGAUUUUGAAGAGCAGUGUGUCUUGCACCUGAUACCGUGUUAAGAGUUCUUGGGUUGGCCAGGCGCGGUGGCUCACACCUGUAAUCCCAGCACUUUGGGAGGCCGAGGCAGGCAGAUCACAGGGCAGGAGUUUGAGACCAGCCUGACCAACAUGGUGAAACCCCGUGUCUACUAAAAAUACAAAAAAAAUUAGCCGGGUGUGGUGGCACAUCCCUGUAAUCCCAGCUACUCGGGAGACGCUGAGGCAGGAGAAUUGCUUGAACCCGGGAGACAGAGGUUGCAGUAAGCCGAGAUGGCCCCACUGCACUCCAGCCUGGGUGACAGAGCAAGACUGUGUCUCAAAAAAAAAAAAAAAGAAUUAUUGGGUUAUCUACCUUUUCUUGCCAGGAGAGGGAGGAGUGGCCUCUUUGGAGAAAGUAUGAAACCCUGCCCUUUCCUGGUAGAACAUUUCUUUGACAGGAGAAAAAAAUCGGAAGGAAAUUAACCAAGGUCACUACAGAGCGUCAUAGUCUUUAUUUCCAGCUUGCUUUUCAUGAUGGCAUAUCCCUACAUGGAACUUUUUAGUGGAUUUUGUUUGUUUUUUGUAUUUUUGUGUGCUGUAGAGGGUGUGGAAAAAGAAGGGCUUCAGGAAGGAAGUCGGUUGGGGUGGGGUUAGUUUCCCUCAGUACAUGUGGGCACAGUUUUCUUCAGCUUAAGGGAAAUCUUAGGAGAGGGACAUUGAUACUUUUACUUGCCUUUAAUUUGUUUACAUUACUGCCCAAGCAGAUGAAAAUAAAGUAGAUGGGAUGAAUGUCCCAAAAGGCCAAACUGGGAACUCUAGCCGUGGUCCAGGAGACGGAGGGAACAAAGACCACUGGAAGGAGUCAGAUAGGAAAGAUGGCAAAAAGGAUCAAGACUCCAGAUCUGCACCUGAGCCAAAGAAACCUGAGGAAAAUCCAGCUUCCAAGUUCAGUUCUGCAAGCAAGUAUGCUGCUCUCUCUGUUGAUGGUGAAGAUGAAAAUGAGGGAGAAGAUUAUGCCGAAUAGACCUCUACAUCCUGUGCUUUCUCCUAGUUUCUCUCCACCCUGGAACAUUCGAGAGCAAAUCAAAACCUCUAUCCAGACAAGACAAAAUAAAACUCACCAUCUCCUGAAGACCUUUCUUACCUUUUUUU
rnacentral:sRNA from 1 species